GACGUCAUCAAGCUCGUCAUCACCAUCAACCGCAGCUCGAGGUAACCGGAAACCGCCAUGUUUUGAGUUAUGUUUCGGUCGUUUUAGUAAAUCGAUCAUAACUUUCUAACCGUAGUGAAUCUCGUGCAUCCAAGGCCAUCAUCGUGUUCCUCUCGUCAAGACGAAGCCGUAGACACCAACCGCGUCGCGAUCGGAGCCUGGACGAAGCCGUACGCGCCCCCCGAAGAUUCGCCUCUACGCGCGUGAGUUCCACGCGCCGCCGCCGGACCACCGUCCUCCGCCGCAGCGCCGCCGCCGGACCACCGUUCUCCGCCGCAGCUCCGCCGUCGCCGCCGGCCAACUUACCGAUUUGGAGUCCAUUUGAGCAGCUGGAGUUCAUAUAUACCACUUCUCUUCAUUGCUAAGGUGAGACCGAUGAGCAGGAGUGAUUUUUCGGAUCGGUGCUAUUGGGCUUUUGGGCUUCUAUCGUUUUAUCGAUUUUAUCGUUAUCGGGCCUCUAGGCCUUUGGACUUUUAUCGUUAUGGUAUUUCGUAUUUUGGAUUCUCGGUUGAUGUCGUACCUUAUGUUUCAGAUUUUAUUUUAUAUUAUGGAAUUCAUGCGUGGAUGUGGACUUUCAAAUAUUUAUAUAUGGAUAUUUAAGAUAUUUGUAUU